rnacentral:lncRNA from 1 species
GAAGUAAACUCAAUGCUUCCGGUGGUAUACAGUCAAUAAGCCCCAUCAUGUCAGAGACAGGCGGCGUUAUACGUUGGAAUAGGCAAACAUAAUCCUGUUCUAGUUCCCACUCUCGGUUGGCAAGAAAAGAUAGAUCUGGCUGAAUGGCAUCGAUCUCCGUAAGGUCCCAGUUGUCUGCCCGCUCAGCUCGGAUGGACCAGAAGUGAGCCAUGUUGGUGUCUCCGAACCAGAGACUAGUUUCAAGAGUAUCUCACAACAAAUCAGGGCCAUCGUAGUCUUCCCCCUCAAUACACUUGUACUCGAUCAGCCAUGGGUAGAGGUGGUAAGCAUGCCACCGCAGGGCCCAAUAGGAAUCAUCCAGCCACACCUCAGUCUCAACUAGCGUCUCCAGUUCGCUUACCCAUUCCUCUGAGGGCUGGCUUCCAAAUAACGGCAUCCGCAGCUCUAGUUCUGCUUAACGCUGGUUAGUGGUCAGGAUUUCCUCGCACCGGAAGGGUCGAAUUUCGUCGAUGUCCUCCUUCCAGAGAUCGGUACGAAGCGCCACCCUCCACUCUGUCUCUCUUUCCUCUGGGAAAGGAUACUCCAUACUGCGCAUCACAUCC